UACGGGGGGGGCAAGCGUUGUUCGGAAUUACUGGGCGUAAAGGGCUCGUAGGCGGCCAACUAAGUCCGACGUGAAAUCCCCAGCUUAACCUGGGAACUGCGUCGGAUACUGGUUGGCUUGAAUCCGGGAGAGGGAUGCGGAAUUCCAGGUGUAGCGGUGAAAUGCGUAGAUAUCAGGAGGAACACCAAUGGCGAAGGCAGCUCGCUGGGACGGUACUGACGCUGAGGCGCGAAAGCGUGGGGAGCAAACAGG
rnacentral:rRNA from 1 species